rnacentral:rRNA from 1 species
CAGUAGCCGCGGUAAUACGGAGGAUCCGAGCGUUAUCCGGAAUUAUUGGGUUUAAAGGGUGUGUAGGCGGAUAGAUAAGUCAGUGGUGAAAGACGGUGGCUCAACCAUCGCAGUGCCGUUGAUACUGUUUAUCUUGAAUAUGGAUGAGGUAGGCGGAAUGUGGCAAGUAGCGGUGAAAUGCAUAGAUAUGCCACAGAACACCGAUUGCGAAGGCAGCUUACCAAGGCAAAAUUGACGCUGAGGCACGAAAGCGUGGGGAUCGAACAGGAUUAGAUACCCCUGUAGUCCCUGUCUCUUAUAA